rnacentral:lncRNA from 10 species
CGAAACAGACUUUUAUUUUAAAAAGUAUUCUUGAUAAUGUGUUCAAAGACUGCCCUGGCUACAGCCCAGGACUGGCAGUAAAUACAACCAGCUUUGGGGAGGAAUCUCCCUCUGGGGAAUGUGGAAUCACAGAUGCUGACAGCCCAAAGGAGGCACUGGAAACAGGAUCAUGGAACUUUGAAGCCGUGAGGGAGGAACUUUCUGUUCCCCUGAAGUUUCUGAACUGCUUCUGCAAGUGUGGUCUGGGAACGCUGGACAUGGCAGCUCACACCUAUAUUCCCAGCACUUUGGGAGGCCAAGGUGGAAGGAUCACUUGAACCCAGGAGUUGAAGACAAGCCUGGGCAACAUAUCAAGACCCUCUUUUAAAAAAAAAAAAAAAAAAAAAAAGCCAGGCACGGAGGCUCUCAUGCCUAUAAUCCCAGCACUUUGGGAGGCCACGGCAGGCAGAUCAUGAGGUCAGGAGUUCAAGACCAGCCUGGUCAACAUGGUGAAACCCUGUCUCUACUAAAAAUACAAACAUUAGCUGGGCAUGGUGCUAUGUGCCUGGUAAUCCCAGCUACUGAGGGGGCUGAGGCAGGAGAAUGGCUUGAACUCAGGAGGCAGAGGUUGCAGUGAGCCGAGAUUGUGCCACUGCACUCCAGCCUGAGUGACAGAGCAAGACUCUGUCUCAAAAACAAACAAACAAACAAAAAACCCACAAAAAACAGCCGGGCACGGUGGCUCACACCUGUAAUCCCAGAACUUUGGGAGGCCGAGGCGGGCGGAUCACCUGAGGUCGGGAGUUUGAGACCAGCCUGACCAACAUGGAAAAACCCCGUCUCUACUAAAAAAAUACAAAAUUAGUGGGGCGUGAUGGUGCAUGCCUGUAAUACCAGCUACUCAGGAGGCUGAGGCAGGAGAAUUGCUUGAACCUGGGAGGCAGAGGUUGUGGUAAGCCGAGAUUGCACUAUUACACUCCAGCCUGGGGAACAAGAGUGAAACUCCAUCUCAAAAACCAAAACAAAAACUCCACAAAAAAACCAGAAAACUGUAAUUCAAUAGGUAAUGCUGUGUUCCAAUAAUUUUUUUUUUUUU